UACGAACCGUACGAACGUUAUUCGGAUUCACUGGGCUUAAAGCGUGCGUAGGCGGCUGGGAAAGUUGGGUGUGAAAUCCCUCGGCUCAACCGAGGAAUUGCGCCCAAAACUACCUGGCUUGAGGAAGAUAGAGGUAAGCGGAACUAAUGGUGGAGCGGUGAAAUGCGUUGAUAUCAUUAGGAACACCUGUGGCGAAAGCAGCUUACUGGGUCUUAUCUGACGCUGAGGCACGAAAGCUAGGGGAGCGAACGGG
rnacentral:rRNA from 1 species